CGGCUGCUGCCCUACCACGUGUACCAGGGCAUGCUGCCGGCCCAGAGAGAGUGCCAGAGGGUGGAUGAGGAGUUUGAGGCGGUGUCGGAGCAGCUCCUGCGCCGCACGCGGGCGAUGCUCAACAAAUACCGGCUGCUGCUGCUCGAGGAGUCGCGGCGGGCGAGCCCCUCGGCGGAGAUGGUGAUGAUCGACCGCAUCUUCAUCCAGGAGGAGAAAACGGCGCUGGCGCUGGACCGGCAGCUGGCACGGGACAA